GGUGACCAGCGGAGGGAUCAUUAAAGAGUUCUAUAACUCCCAAACCCAUGUGAACAUACCUAACGUUGCCUCGGCAGGUCGCACCUACCUUGUAGCACCCUACCCUGUAGGGCCUACCCGGGAGGUGCGGGUAAGCCUGCCGGCGGCCCACCAAACUCUGUUUGAUAUUGAAUUCUGAACCUAUAACUAAAUAAGUUAAAACUUUCAACAACGGAUCUCUUGGUUCUGGCAUCGAUGAAGAACGCAGCGAAAUGCGAUAAGUAAUGUGAAUUGCAGAAUUCAGUGAAUCAUCGAAUCUUUGAACGCAUAUUGCGCCCAUUAGUAUUCUAGUGGGCAGGACCGUUCGAGCGUCAUUUCAACCCUUAAGCCUUCGUUGCUUAGUGUUGGGAGCCUACGGCAACGUAGCUCCUCAAAGUUAGUGGCGGAGUUGGUUCACACUCUAGACGUAGUAAUUUUUUAUCUCGCCUAUUAGUUGGACUAAUCCCCUGCCGUAAAACCCCCAAUUUAUCAAGGUUGACCUCGAAUCGGUUCAGACAAACUCGCUAAAUUGAAGCAUCUUAGUCAGCGAAGGAAAAGAAACCAACAGGGAUUGCCCUAGUAACGGCGAGUGAAGCGGCAACAG
rnacentral:rRNA from 1 species